UGCUGAAGUUGCUGCCAAAUCUGGGACUUAUCAGCAGAAGAAGAAUGAGAAAUCUGGUGCUCCAGCAACCCACAGAUCUCCUUCAAUCCCUCUUCCUGAGGUUGCCAAGAGGCACUCGCCGGUGCCGCCAUUUUAAUGCAAUUUCUGAGCUCUUAUAUGGAUACAGAUUUUGGUGGGCAUGUAGGAUUUGCCGCUGCUGCAGAGGCGAAGGAGAAGGAGACGAGUGCUGUCGUUUUAUUUUUAUUGUUUUUUUUUCCAGUGUCG
rnacentral:misc_RNA from 1 species